rnacentral:rRNA from 1 species
UAGGGAAUAUUGGACAAUGGGUGAGAGCCUGAUCCAGCCAUGCCGCGUGCAGGAAGAAGGCGUUAUGCGUUAUAAACUGCUUUUUGCCAGGGGAUAAAAAGACCGUGCGCGGUUAAUUGAAGGUACCUGGUGAAUAAGCCACGGCUAACUACGUGCCAGCAGCCGCGGUAAUACGUAGGUGGCAAGCGUUGUCCGGAUUUAUUGGGUUUAAAGGGUGCGUAGGUGGCCCUGUAAGUCAGUGGUGAAAUAUCUCAGCUUAACUGAGAGGGUGCCAUUGAUACUGCAGGGCUUGAGUACAGAUGAGGUAGGCGGAAUUGACGGUGUAGCGGUGAAAUGCAUAGAUAUCAUCAAGAACACCGAUAGCGAAGGCAGCUUACCAAGCUGUAACUGACACUGAGGCACGAAAGUGUGGGGAUCAAACAGGAUUAGAUACCCCGGUAGUCCCUGAGCGGGCUGGCAAGGCGCAU